UACGUAGGGGGCAAGCGUUUGUCCGGAUUUAUUGGGCGUAAAGAGCGUGUAGGCGGCCAGGUAGGUCUGCUGUGAAAACUCGAGGCUUAACCUCGAGCUGUCGGCGGAAACCAUCUGGCUAGAGUCCGGAAGAGGAGAAUGGAUUCCCGGUGUAGCGGUGAAAUGCGCAGAUAUCGGGAAGAACACCCGUGGCGAAGGCGGUUCUCUGGGACGGUACUGACGCUGAGACGCGAAAGCGUGGGGAGCGAACAGG
rnacentral:rRNA from 1 species